GGAGUCUAGCAUGUGCGCAAGUCAUUGGGACGUUGCAUUAAACCUAAAGGCGAAAUGAAAGUGAAGGCGUGCCUCGCGCGCGCUUAGGGAGGAUGGGCCGUCGUCUUAGUAGAGGCCUCGCACUCCCGGGGCGUCUCUUUGUCUCCGGAUGCGUUCGUCGCUUUCGAGAGAUGAGGCGCACCCAGAGCGUACACGCUGGGACCCGAAAGAUGGUGAACUAUGCCUGGUCAGGACGAAGUCAGGGGAAACCCUGAUGGAGGUCCGUAGCGAUUCUGACGUGCAAAUCGAUCGUAAGAACUGGGUAUAGGGGCGAAAGACUAAUCGAACCAUCUAGUAGCUGGUUCCCUCCGAAGUUUCCCUCAGGAUAGCUGGCGCUCGUUGAAUUAAUUACAUGGACGAGAAAACCUUUACAAGAGUCUCAUCCGGUAAAGCGAAUGAUUAGAGGCAUUGGGGUCGAAACGGCCUCAACCUAUUCUCAAACUUUAAAUGGGUGAGAUCUCCGGCUUGCUUGAACGAUGAAGCCGCACGAGAUCGGAUCAGAGUGCCAAGUGGGCCAUUUUUGGUAAGCAGAACUGGCGCUGUGGGAUGAACCAAACGUCGAGUUAAAGCGCCAAAAUCGACGCUUAUGGGAUACCAUGAAAGGCGUUGGUAACUUAAGACAGCAGGACGGUGGCCAUGGAA
rnacentral:rRNA from 1 species